UCAAAAAAAAAAAAAAAAAAAAAAAAAAGUAAUCGCGUAUCGCAUUUGCAUCUUUUUG
rnacentral:ribozyme from 1 species